GACGAACGCUGGCGGCGUGCCUAAUACAUGCAAGUAGAACGCUGAAGCUUGGUGCUUGCACCGAGCGGAUGAGUUGCGAACGGGUGAGUAACGCGUAGGUAACCUGCCUGGUAGCGGGGGAUAACUAUUGGAAACGAUAGCUAAUACCGCAUAAGAGUAGAUGUUGCAUGACAUUUGCUUAAAAGGUGCAAUUGCAUCACUACCAGAUGGACCUGCGUUGUAUUAGCUAGUUGGUGAGGUAACGGCUCACCAAGGCAACGAUACAUAGCCGACCUGAGAGGGUGAUCGGCCACACUGGGACUGAGACACGGCCCAGACUCCUACGGGAGGCAGCAGUAGGGAAUCUUCGGCAAUGGACGGAAGUCUGACCGAGCAACGCCGCGUGAGUGAAGAAGGUUUUCGGAUCGUAAAGCUCUGUGUAAGAGAAGAACGAGUGUGAGAGUGGAAAAGUUCACACUGUGACGG
rnacentral:rRNA from 1 species